CACGCGCUCUACAGCCCACCCACUCUACAGCCCACGCCGAGGCACUCUACAUACCACGCGCUCUACAGCCCACCCACUCUACAUACCACGCCGAGGCGCUCUACAGCCCACGCCGAGGCGCUCUACAGCCCACGCCGAGGCGCUCUACAGCCCACGCCGAGGCGCUCUACAGCCCACGCCGAGGCACUCUACAUACCACGCGCUCUACAGCCCACCCACUCUACAUACCAUGCCGAGGCGCUCUACAGCCCACCCACUCUACAGCCCAAGCCGAGGCGCUCUACAGCCCACGCCGAGGCGCUCUACAGUCUCAUCUCUCCAACACCUCAGGCAGGAGGGACUGGUGGUUAGCUAGCCACACGUCAGGAGGAUAGAGCAGAGGUGUGUAUACACACACACACACACACACACACACACACACACACACACACACACCAACUGAAGAGAGAUGUUGGCUUAUGAUUCAUGACAUAUUACUUAUUGACACGUAGAAAAGCAGGUUCCGGUACGGGGUCAGUCUGACCAGCGUGACCAAUUAAUAAUUAUCCUUCCUGCAGUGAGUUCAGGGGUGGACCUUAGAGUUCAGUAUCUGCUGUCACACAACAUUCUGCUGUCACACAACAUUCUGCUGUCACACAACAUUACAUUCUCUUCAAUACAACAUUCUGCUGUCACAACACAACAUUCUCUUCAAUACAACAUUCUGCUGUCACAACACAACAUUCUCUUCAAUACAACAUUCUGCUGUCACAACAUUCUGCUGUCACAACACAACAUUCUCUUCAAUACAAC
ensembl:lncRNA